rnacentral:lncRNA from 1 species
GCAAUUCAUCCAGAGGCGCUGGAGGGUUCUCGGGCCCAGAGGGCCUGCCAAAAAGGCAGUCAGACAGUUGGUUUAUGAGUCAUUCUGUCUCUGUCUCUCCUCUCUUUUUUUUUUUUGAGACGGAGUUUCGCUCUUGUUGCCCAGGCUGGAGUGCAGUGGCGCAAUCUCGGCUCACCGUAACCUCCGCCUCCCAGGUUCAAGCGAUUCUCCUGCCUCAGCCUCCCUAGUAGCUGGGAUUACAGGCAUGUGCCACCACGUCCGGCUAAUUUUGUAUUUUUCGUAGAGACGGGGUUUCUCCAUGUUGGUCAGGCUGGUCUCGAACUCCUGACCUCAGGUGGUCCGCCCUCCUCGGCCUCCCAAAGUGUUGGGAUUAUAGGCGGGAGCCACUGCGCCCGGCCCAUUCUGCCUCUCUUACUGCCAAGUAUCCUAGAGCCAUCUUCCGGCUGCAGGGAAUGUGAACUGAAGAGAAAGGUGUCCUCUCUUCUCAUAAAGAGACCCAAAGACGAAUGCCCCGCAGUUUAGACACAACAACCGACCAGCAUUGAUGUUAAAGAAGAGAUAUCAAGACUGACAGAAAGGACUUUUUGUGGCAAAAAGGUAUCAAAAGAUAAACAAGACCCAAGGCCAUGCCAGAGACAAGGCCUGGAGUUACCCAUGCUGGAGUGCAGUGGUGUGACUGUAGCUCCCUGCAGCCUCGAACUCCUUGGCCUCAAUUGAUCCUGCCACCUUACCUUCUGAGUAACUGGGACUACAGUGUGUGUCACCACACCUUUUUUUUUUUUGACAUGAGGGAUAUAUGCUGGUAAUAAAAAUAAAAUUUUGGGGUAUGGCAAUAGGCAUGCUACUCAAAAUGCUGCCAAGUUACAAAGUGUAACUAUGAUUUGUAAUGGAUAGCAGCAGUGACAAGUGAUGAGAAUGGUCUCUUGUCAUGACUACUCUGUUAUAGUGUAAAAGCAGCCAUAGACAGUAGAUAAAUGAAUAAGUAUGGCUGUAUUCCAAUAAAGUUUUACUCAUGGACACUGAAAUAUGAAUUUCAUAUAAUUUUGUGUCACAAAAUAUUAAAUUUUUUUUCUAGCCAUUAAAAAUGUACAAAGCAUAAUUAGCUGUGGACUGUACAAAAGCAGGAAGCAGGUUGGACAUGGCUUUUGGGCCAUAGUUGGCCAACCCCUGCUAGAGAACAUCUAUACAUAGCAGCCUUUUGAGUAGUUUUGUUCAUCUGAGGUCAUGAAAAGGAAUUAGUAUUGGCAGGGUGCGGUGGCUCACGCCUGUAAUCCCAGCACUUUGGGAGGCAAAGGCGGGCAGAUCACCUGAGGUCAGGAGUUUGAGACCAGCCUGACCAACAUGGUGAAACCCCGUCUCUACAAAAAAUUAGCCGGGUGUGGUGGCGCAUGUCUGUAAUCCCAGCUACUGGGGAGGCUGAGGCAGGAGAAUAGCUUGAACCCAGGAGGUGGAGGUUGCAGUGAGCCGAGAUUGUGCAUUGCACUCCAGCCUGAGCAACAGGAGCGAAACUCUGUCUCAAAAAAACAAAAAACAAAAAAACAAAAAAACAAGGUGGCACAGCUGGCUUGAGCAACUGAACUGGAAACAAGAUGCAGGACCCCAACGCAGACACUGAGUGGAAUGACAUCUUAACGCAAAAAGGGUAUCUUACCCCCCAAGGAAAGUCUGAAAGAAUUGGAAGAGGAGGCAGAAGAGGAGCAGCGCAUCCUCCAGCAGUCAGUGGUGAAAACAUAUGAAGAUAUGACUUUGGAAGAGCUGGAGGAUCAUGAAGACGAGUUUAAUGAGGAGGAUGAAUGUGCUAUUGAAAUGUGCAGACAGCAGAGACUGGCUGAGUGGAAAGCAACUAAACUGAAGAAUAAAUUUUGAGAAGUUUUGGAGAUCUCAGGGAAGGAUUAUGUUCAAGAAGUUACCAAAGCUGGUGAGGGCUUGUGGGUCAUCUUGCACCUUUACAAACAAGGAAUUCCCCUCUGUGCCCUGAUAAAUCAGAACCUCAGUGGACUUGCCAGGAAGUUUCCUGAUGUCAAAUUUAUCAAAGCCAUUUCAACAACCUGCAUACCCAAUUAUCCUGAUAGGAAUCUGCCCCGAUAUUUGUUUACCUGGAAGGAGAUAUCAAGGCUCAGUUUAUUGGUCCUCUGGUGUUUGGUGGCAUGAACCUGACAAGAGAUGAGUUGGAAUGGAAACUGUCUGAAUCUGGAGCAAUUAUGAUGGACCUGGAGGAAAACCCUAAGAAGCCGAUUGAAGAUGUAUUGCUGUCAUCAGUGUGGCACUCUGUCCUCAUGAGGAGGGACAGCGAUUCUGAGGGUGACUGAGGCUACAGCUGCUAUCACAUGCCGAACUUUCUUGUGACAAAUGUCUGGAUUUUUUAAAAA